CGAAUGGGCGAAAGCCUGACGCAGCGACGCCGCGUGCGGAGAAGGCCUUCGGGUGUAACCGCUUCAGGAGGGACGAAGCCACUCGGGUUAAUAGCCCAGAGGGUGACGGUACCUCCAGAAGAAGCCCCGGCUAACUACGUGCCAGCAGCCGCGGUAAUACGUAGGGGGCAAGCGUUGUCCGGAUUUAUUGGGCGUAAAGCGCGUGUAGGCGGCCAGGUAGGUCCGUUGUGAAAACUCGAGGCUCAACCUCGAGACGUCGACGGAAACCAUCUGGCUAGAGUCCGGAAAAGGAGAGUGGAAUUCCUGGUGUAGCGGUGAAAUGCGCAGAUAUCAGGAAGAACACCCGUGGCGAAGGCGGCUCUCUGGGACGGUACUGACGCUGAGACGCGAAAGCGUGGGGAGCGAACAGGAUUAGAUACCCUGGUAGUCCACGCCGUAAACGAUGGGAACUAGGUGUGGGCGGUGUCGACUCCGUCCGUGCCGAAGCUAACGCAUUAAGUUCCCCGCCUGGGGAGUACGGCCGCAAGGCUA
rnacentral:rRNA from 1 species